GACAUACAGCUCCAUCAUAUCCUUGGAGAAGGUCACGCUUCAUGAGGUGGCUCUGCAAGUUUUUCAAAGGAACAGGUUGUAGAGUGUCAAAUGGACGCCAUUCACAUCUAAUUGGGGGAGAGAGCAUGUUGCAUAGACCAGUUAAACCAGCGGAUGACCAAUCUAAAGAUGCAAAUGAAGACCUGGAUCAUGCAAAUGCACUUUCUCUUGUCGAGGAUGCCAAGAAACCCAAUGCUCCAGGAUACAGGGGCCAGGGAAUUGAUGAUGACGAGCUAGCUAAAGCUAUCCAAGAAAGUCUGAGCAUGCCCUCCUAUCAACCAUAUCAACCUGUGCAGUUUUUACCAAGAGGAUACAGAAUUUGUGGAGGCUGUCACCAUGAAAUAGGCUAUGGACAUUACUUGAGCUGCAUGGGAACAUUUUGGCAUCCACAAUGCUUUCGGUGUUAUGCUUGUGGUCAGCUUAUCCGUGAGACUGAGUUUUCUUUGUCAGGCACCUACCCAUACCACAAGUCAUGUUAUAAGGAGUUGCAUCACCCCAAAUGUGAUGUCUGCCAUGAAUUUGUAAGAAUUUAUCUUUCUAUAUUUGUGCACUUUAUCAUUUCUAUUGUAUAAAUUUUUCUAACAAACUGUGUCAUCAGAAGAUUAAAUAAUUUUCAGUGCAGAAGUUCAUGUUGUUCUGGAUUGCUUGUUUCUGAGUCCUUCAUGCUAUCAUUUUAGUGAGAAUCUGUUUGGCCUUUAUUAUGUUUCCUCUUCCUGCACAAAUUCUUCAGUGGAUUGUUUCCCUCUUCAACUUGACUAGAUAUCAUUAGUAUGAGAAUUAGCAAUGAUGUUUCCUCUAAAUACCAGCAUAUACAUUUAUUUAAUACCACUGCAGUCCUUAGAUAUGUCACUUUGUUCUAAACUCUUUCCUGAAUGAAAUCUAUACCACAGCUAAGAAAUUGAGCUUCUAAAAGAUCCAUCUAUUUCUUAUAUUAAUUAUAUUUCUGGAUUAGGAUCCCAUGCGAGUUUGAAUCCUCUAAUAUUCACCAUAUGUAUCAGCUGUUGCAAGUAACUGUACUUUUGUAUCUAUUACCAAUGAUAUUAUUUGGAUAAUGAAAACUUGAAUCUGCUGUUUGAUAGUCAGUUGUCACAAGCAAUUAUACUUACGUUCUUAAAAUGAUGAAAAUUAUCUUUGAUGUCUUUCUCUUUUCCAUCUAGAAAUAUUGAACCUUCUCAAUCAGCUGAAAGCUUAACAUUUCAUUACUUUUGAAAAUGAUCUUCUUUCACUUUCCAGACGAAGUUAUUUAUAUUUCUAUAUCAAAAAUUGACCUAGAAGUAACAUGCUAUAAUAUAAGCAAGCAAGCAAAUGGUUUCUGUUCAUUUUUUUCCCCAACAGAUCCCAACAAACAGGGCUGGUUUAAUUGAGUAUAGAGCUCACCCCUUUUGGGGCCAAAAGUAUUGUCCUUCACAUGAACAUGACCACACACCUCGAUGCUGUAGUUGUGAGAGAAUGGAGGUAUGGAAGACAUUUGCUUCACCGGAGAAAAUUCCAAAUCUUUUUUCAUAUAUGUAAAUGGUCAAGCAAAAUAAUUGCUCGUGAUGAAUAGAACAUUCAUCUUUACUAAUAUCUCAAUUUUGCUUUCACUACUUCAUAUUGAAGUCAAGAAACACAAGAUAUAUCUAUCUAGGAGAAGGCCGUAGCUUGUGCCUGGAAUGCCUUGAAUCUGCUAUCAUGGAUGCUGGUGACUGUCAACCCCUGUACCACUCAAUUAGAGAUUAUUAUGAAGGAAUGAACAUGAGAAUAGAUCAACAAAUUCCCAUGCUUUUGGUUGAAAGGCAGGCGCUUAAUGAGGCCAUGGAAGGGGAGAAAUAUGGUCAUCAUCACAUGCCUGAAACAAGAGGCUUAUGUCUUUCUGAGGAACAAACCGUCAGCAGUAUACAUAAAAGGCCAAGAAUUGGGGGAAACAAAAUUCUGGACAUGCGGACACACCCACAAAAGUUGAUCCGUAGAUGUGAAGUCACUGCAAUUCUUGUUUUAUAUGGCCUCCCCAGGUUAUUAUCAACUUGAUAACAGGCUGGAAGUCAGAUAUCUUUAUUUAUACUGACUAUUAACAGGUUCAAUUCUUGCUCAUGAAUUGAUGCAUGGUUGGUUACGUCUCAAAGGCUAUCGUGAUCUAAGCCCUGAGGUGGAGGAAGGCAUCUGCCAGGUUCUCUCCCACAUGUGGCUCGAAUCCGAGAUCAUGCCAGGUUCAACGAGUGUGCCAUCCUCAUCAAGUUAUGCUCCAUCUUC